AUCAUACUCCUUCCGUCUCAUAUUAAGUGCUGAAAUAUUACAUGUAUCUAGACGCUUUUUAGGUAUAGAUACAUGCAUAUUUUGACAUAUUUGAGUCACUUAAUUUGGAACGGAGGGAGUAGAUG
rnacentral:pre_miRNA from 1 species